rnacentral:rRNA from 1 species
AUUGAACGCUGGCGGCAGGCCUAACACAUGAAAGUCGAGCGGUAGCACAGAGAGCUUGCUCUCGGGUGACGAGCGGCGGACGGGUGAGUAAUGUCUGGGAAACUGCCUGAUGGAGGGGGAUAACUACUGGAAACGGUAGCUAAUACCGCAUAACGUCGCAAGACCAAAGUGGGGGACCUUCGGGCCUCAUGCCAUCAGAUGUGCCCAGAUGGGAUUAGCUAGUAGGUGGGGUAACGGCUCACCUAGGCGACGAUCCCUAGCUGGUCUGAGAGGAUGACCAGCCACACUGGAACUGAGACACGGUCCAGACUCCUACGGGAGGCAGCAGUGGGGAAUAUUGCACAAUGGGCGCAAGCCUGAUGCAGCCAUGCCGCGUGUGUGAAGAAGGCCUUCGGGUUGUAAAGCACUUUCAGCGGGGAGGAAGGCGAUAAGGUUAAUAACCUCAUCGAUUGACGUUACCCGCAGAAGAAGCACCGGCUAACUCCGUGCCAGCAGCCGCGGUAAUACGGAGGGUGCAAGCGUUAAUCGGAAUUACUGGGCGUAAAGCGCACGCAGGCGGUCUGUCAAGUCGGAUGUGAAAUCCCCGGGCUCAACCUGGGAACUGCAUUCGAAACUGGCAGGCUAGAGUCUUGUAGAGGGGGGUAGAAUUCCAGGUGUAGCGGUGAAAUGCGUAGAGAUCUGGAGGAAUACCGGUGGCGAAGGCGGCCCCCUGGACAAAGACUGACGCUCAGGUGCGAAAGCGUGGGGAGCAAACAGGAUUAGAUACCCUGGUAGUCCACGCCGUAAACGAUGUCGAUUCGGAGGUUGUGCCCUUGAGGCGUGGCUUCCGGAGCUAACGCGUUAAAUCGACCGCCUGGGGAGUACGGCCGCAAGGUUAAAACUCAAAUGAAUUGACGGGGGCCCGCACAAGCGGUGGAGCAUGUGGUUUAAUUCGAUGCAACGCGAAGAACCUUACCUGGUCUUGACAUCCACAGAACUUUCCAGAGAUGGAUUGGUGCCUUCGGGAACUGUGAGACAGGUGCUGCAUGGCUGUCGUCAGCUCGUGUUGUGAAAUGUUGGGUUAAGUCCCGCAACGAGCGCAACCCUUAUCCUUUGUUGCCAGCGGUCCGGCCGGGAACUCAAAGGAGACUGCCAGUGAUAAACUGGAGGAAGGUGGGGAUGACGUCAAGUCAUCAUGGCCCUUACGACCAGGGCUACACACGUGCUACAAUGGCAUAUACAAAGAGAAGCGACCUCGCGAGAGCAAGCGGACCUCAUAAAGUAUGUCGUAGUCCGGAUUGGAGUCUGCAACUCGACUCCAUGAAGUCGGAAUCGCUAGUAAUCGUAGAUCAGAAUGCUACGGUGAAUACGUUCCCGGGCCU